UGUAUCUGAAGCCUGACGAGGAUGAGAACCUCCGGGGGCAAGAGGUUCGACCCGAGCGAAGCGAGAGAACGUUGCGUCAGCAACGGCCCGCAG
rnacentral:sRNA from 1 species